rnacentral:rRNA from 1 species
CGGUAAUUCCAGCUCCAAUAGCGUAUAUUAAAGUUGUUGCCGUUAAAAAGCUCGUAGUCGAACUUCGGCCUUUGCCGCCCGGUCCGCCCUAUGGGUGUGUACUGGAGCGGUGGAGGCUUACCUCGUGGUGAACGGCCAUGCUCUUUACUGGGUGUGGUCGGGAACCAUGAUUUUUACUUUGAAAAAAUUAGAGUGUUCAAAGCAGGCUUACGCCCGAAUACAUUAGCAUGGAAUAAUAAAAUAGGACGUGCGGUUCUAUUUUGUUGGUUUCUAGAAUCGCCGUAAUGAUUAAUAGGGAUAGUUGGGGGCAUUCGUAUUCAAUUGCUAGAGGUGAAAUUCUUGGAUUUAUUGAGGACGAACUACUGCGAGAGCAUUUGCCAAGGAUGUUUUCAUUGAUCAAGAACGAAGGUUAGGGGAUCGAAAACGAUCAGAUACCGUUGUAGUCUUAACAGUAAACGAUGCCGACUAGGGAUCGGACGAGGAUUUUUAAUGACUCGUUCGGCACCUGAAGAGAAAUCUUUAAGUCUAGGUUCGGGGGGGAGUAUGGUCGCAAGGCUGAAACUUAAAGGAAUUGACGGAAGGGCACCACCAGGUGUGGAGCCUGCGGCUUAAUUUGACUCAACACGGGGAAACUCACCAGGUCCAGACACGGCAAGGAUUGACAGAUUGAUAGCUCUUUCUUGAUUUCGUGGUUGGUGGUGCAUGGCCGUUCUUAGUUGGUGGAGUGAUUUGUCUGGUUAAUUCCGAUAACGAACGAGACCUUAACCUGCUAAAUAGCCCGGCCGACUUUGGUUGGUCGCUGGCUUCUUAGAGGGACUAUCAGCGUUUAGCUGAUGGAAGUUUGAGGCAAUAACAGGUCUGUGAUGCCCUUAGAUGUUCUGGGCCGCACGCGCGCUACACUGACCGAACCAGCGAGUUUAUCACCUUGGCCGGAAGGCCUGGGUAACCUUGUGAAACUCGGUCGUGAUGGGGAUAGAGCAUUGCAAUUAUUGCUCUUCAACGAGGAAUACCUAGUAAGCGUGAGUCAUCAGCUCGCGUUGAAUUCGUCCCUGCCCUUUGUACACACCGCCCGUCGCUACUACCGAUUGAAUGGCUUAGUGAGGUCUCCGGAUUGGCUUCUGGGAGCCGGCAACGGCACCUAGUCGCUGAGAAGUUGAACGAACUUGGUCAUUUAGAGGAAGUAAAAGUCGUAACAAGGUAGCC